AGCUGGUCGGAUUGAGACAGGUGUCUGUGGUUAAGAUCAGGUCAUCUUUUUCAAGUAAAAUUGCUUCAUAUUUUAAAAUUUGAGAAUCUAUUAGCCAGUGCCCAGCCCACUGAUUAAGUAAGCAUGACCCAAACCUGGUGAGGAGUACUGACAAGGGUUCCUCCAAGUUAAUUUCCUGCUCUCUUCCACCAGUAAGGCCAUGGCUGUGGUGGCCUGAAUGCAUUCAGUCCAUCCUCAAGAGACAGGGUCCAAUAGUUUAGACAUAAAGGCCACUGGUUAUUUCUUUCCUCCCAAGGCUUGGGUCAAAACCCCUACAGGGAAUCUUGUUCAACAGUAACAAACCAGUGAAAUGGCUUCUGUAAAGAUGGGAGUGCCAGGACUGGGGCGGUGACUAAAGAUUGCUUUCAAUUUCUCUAGAUUUUGCAGUUCCCCUGGGUCCACUGGAGAGGAUCUGACUCUCCCUCUAACAAUUUGAAAUAUAAGCUUCUAGCCUCUCUUCUAACACUUUUUGAGCUUCUCUCAGUAAUUCCUCUAUAAGUUUUGUAAGAAUGAGUUAGCAUGAGAAUGGCCAUCUUAAGGGCUGAAAAGCCAUUUUCUGAGUGCAUGACUCAGGAAAGGAAGAACUGGGUAAGGCUUGAUAAACAGGUUUUGAAGAACAAGUUAAUCAUAGACACCGGGUUGUGGGCAGCUGCGACCCUUGGUCAACUAAUCAUGCAUACCAGGUUAUGGGCGGUUGCAACUCUGGUCAACUUAUCUUGCUGAACCACCAUAACAUUUGAGGAGUGGUCUUAUCUUGCUUUUGCUUAACCCCCAGGAUGUGGCACAAGCCAAAAAUUAUGGAAAAUUACUGUAAGCUCAAGUAACACCUUCUAACUUCAUCAAUCUCAUGGAACCCGAUGCUCACUGCCGCAAGAUGGGAGCAUCCUCUUCAAGGUUAAAGCCAGACAUGCCUCUGGUAUGCAUUCUGAGGAACUAAGAGCAAUUUUGAUCCCCAGACCCUGAAAAAGAAGAAAGGUCUUAUCUUCUACACAAAAGCCUGGCCUCAAUACAAACUCUCUGAUGGGGAGGCUUGGCCCCUGAGAGAAGUAUGCAAUAUAAUAAAGUUAUGCAGCUAAACUUAUUUUAAUGCAAGAAAGAAAAAUAGUCAACAGUCCCAUAGACUACAAUGUGGAACUAGUUUUGCAAAUUAUUUUAGUGGAAAUCUAUUCUACUUAUUGGGUUCAUUAUCUUCAAAAAUUGAGAGGUUUUUUAAAAACUAGACUCCCUGAAACAGAAGAAAUGUAUCUUCUGCAAUACAUCCUGGCUUUAAAUGACUGGUGCUAGAAUUGUACUUGCAUUUCAUUUCCAGCCCCCUGGACACACACAGUCCCUAUCAGUUCAGAGCCUUCAUCGGCCCUGUUAGUCUGAGGCCAUCUAAACCUUAACCCAGUUACAUAAACUG